GCCGCCGUCAUCGCCGGAGUCGCCGUCGUCGCCGCCACCACGUUAGCAGGUCACGUGAUGCUUAGUGUAAGAAACAUGCGCUGAGCAGAAAAGAGUUUCUCUUGUUUAGGAAGUUGAAGCCAAUAUGUUGUGUGUCGCUGCCUUGUAAAAGAGAGAAUGGGUCAAGUACUUAUGCGUCUGAAACUGAAGCGAAGAGGUUUGCGGAGGUCUUUAUUACGUGGACGGUUGCAGUCGACGGUCGGAUCACAAAGUUCUGAAGGUAAGCCAAUUGCAAUUUUUGUGCUCUACAACAAGAAAAGGAUUAAAAAAACCCCCAAAAACCCAAAAAUGUUUUCUCGAAUACUCUAAAGUCUUUCAUUCUUCAUAUCACUAUACCGAAUUGGAAUGGAGAUUCUGGCAAGUAAGAAAUGUCACGUAACAUCGAUAGCACUAUUUUCGUAAAGAAUGAUCUACCAAACACAUCAUAUAUCUAUCUAUUGUGGCUUUUGUUAAUAUUGUAUUUUGAUCUAAAUUAA